AUGACUUGAGUAUGACGGAAAGAGAACUAAGAAUGAUGGUUGGUUGACCCUAUGGGGGCACUGACCGCUUUUGUAUCUGUCCCAGCACAUGGCUUCAACGUUUUCUCUGAUGCCUGUACCGCCCGUUCCUCUGGUGCUUUGAACCGGCUUCACCAUCCUACUCACCGCCUCAUUAAUGAAUUGAAGGAAUCUUUGCCACCCAUUCAUCCUAUAUCUAUGGGAGUCAACGUUUUUAACUUUUUGAAGAUUACACUUCUGCGAUGUCUUGCUGUGAUCCACAGUCCUUAAAACCGCGUCUUUUGGGGGAAUGUAACGAUGUGGGCUCAUCACGUGAAGUGGAGAAUGCGAGGCACACAGCUGUACGUACGACUGUGACUAAUUUCAAUAGUAUAUACGGAUUAUGAUUCAGAGAAUGGAGAUGAGAAGGUUUCCUUUGCUGGCCCAACGAUUCCAUGUCAAAGGGAGAGCAACACAUGCACAAGGUGCUGUGGAAGGGAGAGGGCCUCCACCUGUAGACAUGCUGUGGAAGAUUGAAGUAAACAAGAGCUGGAAACCUUCAGAGAAUAUUUUGGUUCAUAAAGUCACUCUCUGCUUUGCCAAGACCUUCCAUGCUCUUAGAAGGAUUGCAACCCUUUUCGGGUCCUAUCAGACACCAAGUGCUGGCAGGACAGGAACAAGACUGUCCAGAGAACAACAACAUGGAGAAAGCAGCCCAUUUUUCCUACUGGGAAAAGCUCCCUGGAACCUAAGACAGAUAAUCUGACUUGUUCUGAGUUCUCCAUAAAAACCCUCAUACCUCUGUCCUCUUCUAACCUUUCAUCCCUGCCUUGCUUCCUUUUGAGCCUCUCUCUCUGGCUCUUGCUUGGUGACCAAGUUUCCCUCACCAGAUCCCUGUGGCAGCACAGAGACUGUAUGCAGCCACCAACUCCCAAGCCCUUUGCUUUCUCCAGAAAAAACACAGGAAACAUUGGAUGGAAUAAACCCUACCAGUCACAAGUAUUCAGACAUUCUCAGCCCAAGACAUAGUUUGGUGUUUACUGUAGAAAAAAGUUGUCAUGGCCUUUGUGUCUCCACUGUAUUUUGCACCCAUCACCUCCCAUCCCAAGAACAAGGAAUGAAUCUGCAGCUGUUGUUUCAACUUCUUCAAUCUGAAGCAAUUUGAAAGCCACAGCUGUUAGGGGCGUAAACCUGACUCUGGCUUUGUCCUUGGUCCACAUCUCAUUUUUCAUGAAAUUCUCUAAGAGCCACACCUCUGGGAGUUGAGUCAGAGAAGGCCACUUCCGUCAAUCAUCCACUCUCCCGGGAUCAGAAGUGCUCGUUCCUAAGGGGAGUUUCCAGUAUGAAAUAGAGCCUGUUCCUGUCCUGAUUUGGUGGAACCGAGCUCCUGGGAGGGGUGCUGAUGUUCCUAAAGGCAUAUGAUGAGUUCAACCACCACCCAGCUUUUCCCACUAGCAGGCAGACAUGGAUAAUUUGGCAAACAUCAGCAUUUGGCUGCCAGCAGGUUGGCUAUUUAGAGGAGAGGGCAGGCUGGAGGACUUUACUACAUCUCAAGUUAACCACACUAAUCUACCCUAGCUUCCACAGAGAACAGCAGGCUAUAUUGAGGGAUCUCAGCAACAGCUGUGCCUUCCAAACCAAGAUGCUGUUCAGAAAGAUGAUCCAAAUGUGGGCUAUGUGUUUCAGUUGGAGCUGGUGGGACUUUCCUUCUCAAAUGGCCCUUUGUGUGCUUCUAAAAGAUGGGGCAUUAACCUCACACGUGGCUAACGCAUGAUGGAUGACUUGGCAUUCUCGAUUUACAUUUGGCUUGUGGUCAGAACUGAACUGUCAGAAUGCCUGAGUAUCUGAUGGACAGUGCCUGGCUUGUUCAGACUCGUUUCUGAUGAAGUGAGUAGAAUGCGGGGGCUUUUGCUCCAUCCAGAUUUGAUAAGCUAAACAAGGCAGGACUGUUACAAAGGCUGACUUUAGUGUUCCUCUCAGGGAGGCAGAGGUCAGUGUCCAGAAUCAGUGGCCUCCUAUCAACUCUAUUCAUAUUAAGCAUUUCUACCUACUUCUGGGUAGCACAGUUGGUUGAGUGUCCAUCUUGGUUUUGGCUCAGGUUGUGAUCUCAGGGUUCUGAGAUGAACCCCCACAUUGGGCUCUGCGCUCAGCAAGAAGUCUGCUUCAGCUUCUCUCCCUCCU